CUAGCGAAACGUGCCGGUGUAAACCGUGAGGAAGGUGGGGAUGACGUCAAAUCAGCACGGCCCUUAUGUCCAGGGCUACACACGUGUUACAAUGGCCGGUACAGAGGGCAGCUACCUGGAGACAGGAUGCGAAUCUCCAAAGCCGGUCUCAGUUCGGAUCGGAGUCUGCAACUCGACUCCGUGAAGCUGGAUUCGCUAGUAAUCGCGCAUCAGCCAUGGCGCGGUGAAUACGUUCCCGGGCCUU
rnacentral:rRNA from 1 species